AGCGAACGCUGGCGGCAGGCCUAACACAUGCAAGUCGAACGAACUCUUCGGAGUUAGUGGCGGACGGGUGAGUAACACGUGGGAACGUGCCUUUUGGUUCGGAAUAACUCAGGGAAACUUGUGCUAAUACCGAAUGUGCCCUUCGGGGGAAAGAUUUAUCGCCAUUAGAGCGGCCCGCGUCUGAUUAGCUAGUUGGUGAGGUAACGGCUCACCAAGGCGACGAUCAGUAGCUGGUCUGAGAGGAUGACCAGCCACACUGGGCUGAGACACGGCCCAGACUCCUACGGGAGGCAGCAGUGGGGAAUCUUGCGCAAUGGGCGAAAGCCUGACGCAGCCAUGCCGCGUGAAUGAUGAAGGUCUUAGGAUUGUAAAAUUCUUUCACCGGGGACGAUAAUGACGGUACCCGGAGAAGAAGCCCCGGCUAACUUCGUG
rnacentral:rRNA from 1 species